UACGGGUGAGGCAAGCGUUGUUCGGAAUCACUGGGCUUAAAGCGCGUGUAGGCGGCAUGGUAAGUACCUUGUGAAAACCCUCGGCUCAACCGGGGAACUGCUUGGUAUACUGCCGUGCUCGAGGAAGGCAGAGGUGCCUGGAACUCUAGGUGGAGCGGUGAAAUGCGUAGAUAUCUAGAGGAACGCCCGUGGCGAAAGCGGGGCACUGGGCCUUUCCUGACGCUGAGACGCGAAAGCGUGGGGAGCAAACGGG
rnacentral:rRNA from 1 species